rfam:Medicago truncatula strain A17 chromosome 3, whole genome shotgun sequence.
UUUGGGGGAAAUAGUGGUCUGUUAAGUUGGGGAAAAGACAUCAUCCCUUGAGAUAAAAUUAGGUUUGUUUCCUUUUACUCCUAAAAUCUUUUUACCGUGGGUAGAAAGAAUCAAUAUGGGGGUAUAAAAGGAACCAAAUUUAAAUUUAACUCAAGGGAUCUUGAUGUCGUUUUCCCCAACAGGAAGGAUCACUAUUUUCCCCAAG